AACGAACGCUGGCGGCAGGCUUAACACAUGCAAGUCGAACGCCCCGCAAGGGGAGUGGCAGACGGGUGAGUAACGCGUGGGAAUCUACCUGAUACUACGGAACAACUGAGGGAAACUUCAGCUAAUACCGUAUACGCCCUAAGGGGGAGAGAUUUAUCGGUAUCAGAUGAGCCCGCGUUGGAUUAGCUAGUUGGUGGGGU
rnacentral:rRNA from 1 species